ACUACAGGUGACAAUAAAUAUCAGGGCCGGAUGACUUUGUUCUUCUCAUACGUUCUAUCCUCUGGUUUUUGUCACCAACAAGAAUUUCGGCUUUUCAGUUCCUACUGUUGAAUCUUAUCGGCGACGACGUUCAGACAGAUCAUAUGGACAAGAUGAACACUGCAGCUCGAAGCCAGGAGAUCAAGCAGGGAUUGUGGAAGUAUAGCGACGAACGUUGUCGUUGGCACACUUUCAGUUCAGUCCAAGCAAAUGUGCACUCUGCGUACAUGCGAUCAGAUGAACUCAAGGAGACAGACGCAGAUAAACUCACUGAUGUCAAGAUUAGAGUGGAUCCUCCCAAGUUGCUCGUUCAGGCUCAUGGGGAUCAAUCUGAAGAUCAGGUGAAUCCGGCGCCCCUGAAAGCGUGCAAGGAUUGCAAGCCAUCUGUCAAUUAAUAAUUGUCAGGGUUAUGGAUACCACAUACCUAAUAGUAGUCGACUACAUCUCGGCAGGACCCACCACAUACCAUGUCCUAUACGAAAACAA